rnacentral:rRNA from 1 species
CACGCCGCGUGAGUGAUGAAGGCUUUCGGGUCGUAAAACUCUGUUGUUAGGGAAGAACAAGUGCUAGUUGAAUAAGCUGGCACCUUGACGGUACCUAACCACAAAGCCACGGCUAACUACGUGCCAACAGCCGCGGUAAUACGUAGGUGGCAAGCGUUAUCCGGAAUUAUUGGGCGUAAAGCGCGCGCAGGUGGUUUCUUAAGUCUGAUGUGAAAGCCCACGGCUCAACCGUGGAGGGUCAUUGGAAACUGGGAGACUUGAGUGCAGAAGAGGAAAGUGGAAUUCCAUGUGUAGCGGUGAAAUGCGUAUAGAUAUGGAGGAACACCAGUGGCGAACGCGACUUUCUGGUCUGGUACUGACA